rnacentral:rRNA from 1 species
CCUACGGGAGGCAGCAGUGAGGAAUAUUGCGCAAUGGGCGAAAGCCAGACGCAGCAACGCCGCGUGGGCGAUGAAGGUCUUCGGAUCGUAAAGCCCUUUUCUAGAGGAAGAGGAAGGACAGUACUCUAGGAAUAAGUCUCGGCUAACUACGUGCCAGCAGCCGCGGUAAAACGUAGGAGACUAGCGUUAUCCGGAUUUAUUGGGCGUAAAGCGCGUGUAGGCGGUGCCUUAAGUUGGAUGUGAAAUCUCCUGGCCUAACUGGGAGGGGCCGUUCAAAACUGAGGCACUUGAGGGCAGAAGAGGGAAGUGGAAUUCCCGGUGUAGCGGUGGAAUGCGUAGAUAUCGGGAGGAACACCUGUGGCGAAGGCGGCUUCCUGGGAUGCCCCUGACGCUGAGACGCGAAAGCUAGGGGAGCAAACGGGAUUAGAUACCCCGGUAGUCCUAGCUGUAAACGAUGGAUACUAGGUGUUGGUGGUAUUAACCCCAUCAGUGCCGAAGCUAACGCGUUAAGUAUCCCGCCUGGGGAGUACGACCGCAAGGUUAAAACUCAAAGGAAUUGACGG